rnacentral:lncRNA from 10 species
AAAUAUAUUAUGCAGCAGCGGGGAGCAGUGACCCCAGAAGUCUUGCACCUGGGCUGUGGGAUAGGUUCCAGCCCCUUCUCUAUUGUUUCUAGGGCGAACUUUGCGUUGCAAGGCUUUCUACAGUGUCAAUGGCUCUGUGUACUGUGAGGAAGAUUAUCUGUUUUCAGGGUUUCAGGAGGCAGCUGAGAAAUGCUGUGUCUGUGGUCACUUGAUUUUGGAGAAGAUGGAGUCUCACUCUGUUGCCCAGGCUGGAGUCCAGUGGUGCGAUCUCGGCUUACUGCAAGCUCCGCCUCCUGGUUCACGCCAUUCUCCUGCCUAGCUGGGACUACAGGCGCCCGCCACAUGCCCGGCUAAUUUUUUGAUCCUACAAGCAAUGGGGAAGUCCUAUCAUCCAGGCUGUUUCCGAUGCAUUGUUUGCAACAAGUGCCUGGAUGGCAUCCCCUUCACAGUGGACUUCUCCAACCAAGUAUACUGUGUCACCGACUACCACAAAAAUUAUGCUCCUAAGUGUGCAGCCUGUGGCCAACCCAUCCUCCCCUCUGAGGGCUGUGAGGACAUCGUGAGGGU